rnacentral:rRNA from 1 species
UACGGAGGAUCCAAGCGUUAUCCGGAUUUAUUGGGUUUAAAGGGUGCGUAGGCGGGGAAUCAAGUCAGCGGUGAAAGUUUGCGGCUCAACCGUAAAAUUGCCGUUGAAACUGGUUCUCUUGAGUGUAGAUGAGGUGGGUGGAAUUCGUGGUGUAGCGGUGAAAUGCUUAGAUAUCACGAAGAACUCCAAUUGCGUAGGCAGCUCACUGGGCUACAACUGACGCUGAGGCACGAAGGUGCGGGGAUCAAACAGGAUUAGAUACCCUGGUAGUCCGCACAGUAAACGAUGAAUACUAGCUGUUGGCGAUACACUGCCAGUGGCACAGCGAAAGCGUUAAGUAUUCCACCUGGGGAGUACGUUCGCAAGAAUGAAACUCAAAGGAAUUGACGGGGGCCCGCACAAGCGGAGGAACAUGUGGUUUAAUUCGAUGAUACGCGAGGAACCUUACCCGGGCUUGAAUUGCAUCUGAAUACAGCGGAAACGUUGUAGCUAGCAAUAGCAGAUGUGAAGGUGCUGCAUGGUU